rnacentral:rRNA from 1 species
AGCAGCCGCGGUAAUUCCAGCUCCAAUAGCGUAUAUUAAAGUUGUUGCAGUUAAAAAGCUCGUAGUUGAAUUUCGGGAUCAUCAGGUUGGUCGCGCCUCUGGUAUGUACUGAUUUCGAUGGUUCCUCCUUCUUGAAGAACCGUAAUGCCAUUAAUUUGGUGUUGCGGGGAAACAGGACUGUUACUUUGAAAAAAUUAGAGUGUUUAAAGCAGGCAAUCGCUUGAAUACAUUAGCAUGGAAUAAUGAAAUAGGACGUUCGAUCCUAUUUUGUUGGUUUCUAGGAUUGACGUAAUGAUUAAUAGGGAUAGUUGGGGGCAUUAGUAUUCAAUUGUCAGAGGUGAAAUUCUUGGAUUUAU